rfam:Salmo salar isolate Sally breed double haploid chromosome ssa25, whole genome shotgun sequence.
UGCAUUCACUACUGUAAGUCGCUUUGGAUAAGAGCAUCUGCUAAAUGACUAAAA